CAGACGUCCCUGAACAGACUGGACUGAAUCACAAGGUUUAGCAGGAAUCAUAGAGAGGAAAGGCACUCUGACUUACUUGGAGUUUGGAAGUGUACAAUUUAGUCUUGUUUACAGUCACCGACUGUGGAAGUUAAAUCUCUCACCUAGCUGUGCUGUGCUCGUACAACGCAGAAAGUAGCAGAAAGCCAGACUCUGGACUUAGGGUGGAACAGAAAACCAGAAACAAUACAGUCUGUCCUCAGCGACUUUAUUAACCAGAUCUGGCACCACGUGACUUCAGGCAUUCCCCACAGUCAAAAUAACCACGAAAAGUAAGCAUUGAAUUGAUUCAGGACACAGACAGCCAUGACAGCACAACUCAUGACACUCAGGGAGGAGGCUUUCUAGAACUGGUGUCACAAAAUUGAGGUUGAUGCAAAGUGAACUUGUCCAGGAAUUCGGCUGAAAGACAGAUGCAGAUUUCUCUGCAAGCAAAGUUCCUAUCUCAGCUACCCAACGCCUGCACCUACCGUCUGAAGACACAGGGGUUGACAGUAGUUCUUCCUAAAGGAGGACGAGAAGAAGGCAUUGUUUUCCUCUCUAUCAGAGAGUAUUCACAAGAUGAUUAGACUGAGACUGAAAGAGAAAGGAGAAAUUCCGGAAGGAAACAGAUAAAACUUUUUAAAGAUAAAAGUUUUUAUUCAUUGAAAAAAAUUACCCAGCUUUUGAUUUUUCCAAGACUUUUUACUGGGCACAAGAAAUGCCAAACAUAUAAUGUGUUUCUUCCUUCAGGAUAUUUGGCUAAGGGAAGUAAAGAAAACAAGGAAAGAGCACUAAAUUCUUCUUUUGUUUCAGAUAGUUGUAGGGACUGUGUAUGAUCAUCUAAUUUAAUCUACAAUUAUAUAAAUAAAAUAUAUAUG